rnacentral:rRNA from 1 species
GGUUAAGCGACUAAGCGUACACGGUGGAUGCCCUGGCAGUCAGAGGCGAUGAAGGACGUGCUAAUCUGCGAUAAGCGUCGGUAAGGUGAUAUGAACCGUUAUAACCGGCGAUUUCCGAAUGGGGAAACCCAGUGUGUUUCGACACACUAUCAUUAACUGAAUCCAUAGGUUAAUGAGGCGAACCGGGGGAACUGAAACAUCUAAGUACCCCGAGGAAAAGAAAUCAACCGAGAUUCCCCCAGUAGCGGCGAGCGAACGGGGAGCAGCCCAGAGCCUGAAUCAGUGUGUGUGUUAGUGGAAGCGUCUGGAAAGGCGCGCGAUACAGGGUGACAGCCCCGUACACAAAAAUGCACAUGCUGUGAGCUCGAUGAGUAGGGCGGGACACGUGGUAUCCUGUCUGAAUAUGGGGGGACCAUCCUCCAAGGCUAAAUACUCCUGACUGACCGAUAGUGAACCAGUACCGUGAGGGAAAGGCGAAAAGAACCCCGGCGAGGGGAGUGAAAAAGAACCUGAAACCGUGUACGUACAAGCAGUGGGAGCACGCUUAGGCGUGUGACUGCGUACCUUUUGUAUAAUGGGUCAGCGACUUAUAUUCUGUAGCAAGGUUAACCGAAUAGGGGAGCCGAAGGGAAACCGAGUCUUAACUGGGCGUUAAGUUGCAGGGUAUAGACCCGAAACCCGGUGAUCUAGCCAUGGGCAGGUUGAAGGUUGGGUAACACUAACUGGAGGACCGAACCGACUAAUGUUGAAAAAUUAGCGGAUGACUUGUGGCUGGGGGUGAAAGGCCAAUCAAACCGGGAGAUAGCUGGUUCUCCCCGAAAGCUAUUUAGGUAGCGCCUCGUGAAUUCAUCUCCGGGGGUAGAGCACUGUUUCGGCAAGGGGGUCAUCCCGACUUACCAACCCGAUGCAAACUGCGAAUACCGGAGAAUGUUAUCACGGGAGACACACGGCGGGUGCUAACGUCCGUCGUGAAGAGGGAAACAACCCAGACCGCCAGCUAAGGUCCCAAAGUCAUGGUUAAGUGGGAAACGAUGUGGGAAGGCCCAGACAGCCAGGAUGUUGGCUUAGAAGCAGCCAUCAUUUAAAGAAAGCGUAAUAGCUCACUGGUCGAGUCGGCCUGCGCGGAAGAUGUAACGGGGCUAAACCAUGCACCGAAGCUGCGGCAGCGACACUGUGUGUUGUUGGGUAGGGGAGCGUUCUGUAAGCCUGUGAAGGUGUGCUGUGAGGCAUGCUGGAGGUAUCAGAAGUGCGAAUGCUGACAUAAGUAACGAUAAAGCGGGUGAAAAGCCCGCUCGCCGGAAGACCAAGGGUUCCUGUCCAACGUUAAUCGGGGCAGGGUGAGUCGACCCCUAAGGCGAGGCCGAAAGGCGUAGUCGAUGGGAAACAGGUUAAUAUUCCUGUACUUGGUGUUACUGCGAAGGGGGGACGGAGAAGGCUAUGUUGGCCGGGCGACGGUUGUCCCGGUUUAAGCGUGUAGGCUGGUUUUCCAGGCAAAUCCGGAAAAUCAAGGCUGAGGCGUGAUGACGAGGCACUACGGUGCUGAAGCAACAAAUGCCCUGCUUCCAGGAAAAGCCUCUAAGCAUCAGGUAACAUCAAAUCGUACCCCAAACCGACACAGGUGGUCAGGUAGAGAAUACCAAGGCGCUUGAGAGAACUCGGGUGAAGGAACUAGGCAAAAUGGUGCCGUAACUUCGGGAGAAGGCACGCUGAUAUGUAGGUGAAGUCCCUCGCGGAUGGAGCUGAAAUCAGUCGAAGAUACCAGCUGGCUGCAACUGUUUAUUAAAAACACAGCACUGUGCAAACACGAAAGUGGACGUAUACGGUGUGACGCCUGCCCGGUGCCGGAAGGUUAAUUGAUGGGGUUAGCCGCAAGGCGAAGCUCUUGAUCGAAGCCCCGGUAAACGGCGGCCGUAACUAUAACGGUCCUAAGGUAGCGAAAUUCCUUGUCGGGUAAGUUCCGACCUGCACGAAUGGCGUAAUGAUGGCCAGGCUGUCUCCACCCGAGACUCAGUGAAAUUGAACUCGCUGUGAAGAUGCAGUGUACCCGCGGCAAGACGGAAAGACCCCGUGAACCUUUACUAUAGCUUGACACUGAACAUUGAGCCUUGAUGUGUAGGAUAGGUGGGAGGCUUUGAAGUGUGGACGCCAGUCUGCAUGGAGCCGACCUUGAAAUACCACCCUUUAAUGUUUGAUGUUCUAACGUGGACCCGUGAUCCGGGUUGCGGACAGUGUCUGGUGGGUAGUUUGACUGGGGCGGUCUCCUCCUAAAGAGUAACGGAGGAGCACGAAGGUUGGCUAAUCCUGGUCGGACAUCAGGAGGUUAGUGCAAUGGCAUAAGCCAGCUUGACUGCGAGCGUGACGGCGCGAGCAGGUGCGAAAGCAGGUCAUAGUGAUCCGGUGGUUCUGAAUGGAAGGGCCAUCGCUCAACGGAUAAAAGGUACUCCGGGGAUAACAGGCUGAUACCGCCCAAGAGUUCAUAUCGACGGCGGUGUUUGGCACCUCGAUGUCGGCUCAUCACAUCCUGGGGCUGAAGUAGGUCCCAAGGGUAUGGCUGUUCGCCAUUUAAAGUGGUACGCGAGCUGGGUUUAGAACGUCGUGAGACAGUUCGGUCCCUAUCUGCCGUGGGCGCUGGAGAACUGAGGGGGGCUGCUCCUAGUACGAGAGGACCGGAGUGGACGCAUCACUGGUGUUCGGGUUGUCAUGCCAAUGGCACUGCCCGGUAGCUAAAUGCGGAAGAGAUAAGUGCUGAAAGCAUCUAAGCACGAAACUUGCCCCGAGAUGAGUUCUCCCUGACCCUUUAAGGGUCCUGAAGGAACGUUGAAGACGACGACGUUGAUAGGCCGGGUGUGUAAGCGCAGCGAUGCGUUGAGCUAACCGGUACUAAUGAACCGUGAGGCUUAACCUU